rnacentral:misc_RNA from 1 species
GAAAAUAAUAGUGUAUUAUGCUGCUAAGCAACCUGAAAGCACGACCCAAGUCUACCAUCAAACAUCAGCAUCAAUAGUCUGGUUCAAAUCAAUCGUUCACAAUGGCGGAGUCAUUUGAUAUUGCCAAAGUGGAAGAAGAUCCCUUAGCAGAAGUAAAUCUGACUGUCUUUUACGAACAAAUAAAAGAAGCUUACGAUAUACUUCAUUACACAUCAUACUUUACAGACACAAUAAAAUUCUUACUGUGCAUUAUAUCCAUAGUAGCCGACAUCUGCCUAAUUAUAAUUAUUACAAAGAAUCCAAAAUUAAAAACUGUUACUAACAAAUAUAUUCUUCAUUACUCAAUAUGGCAUAUAGUAUUUAUGGUGUUUUUUCCCAUGUUUUUCGUACUUUUUAAUCAAUUGCAUUUGGUUGAUAUUCUUCCAAGUGUUCUCCCCUUCAUUAUUUUUAAGAUAAACAGUAUAUCACUGUCACUGCUUUUUCUAGUUGGUUUAUGUCUUGCUUUGGACUGGCUUUUAAAUAUUUACAGUCCACAUUUUUCAAAAUCUUCGGCACUGUUUAACAAAUAUGGUAUUUAUUUACUUUAUUCAAUCGAUGCUUUAAUAUUCAUUAUUGGUUGUAUUGUUGAAGUGUUUAUCCUUAAUGGACUAUAUUAUUUUGUUGCGUUGUGUCUUUUGGUGUUUAACUUUCUGCAUUACAGAAGUAACAAAAACGAAAACAACCUCAAAAAUUAUGGAUUGAUUCCUGCUAAUAUCAUUGUCUUCUUUUGGUUGCCACUUUUCAUACACGACGAACUGCUCAUGUGGUCCAUAGGAUCUUUCACUUUGUAUAUUACAGUUUUAUAUACAAUGUUUUUAGCUGAUUGGUUUUCCCUCACCAUGUCUUUAGUUUUGAUGAUAGCUUUAAUCAGAAUGGAUAUAAAUAUAAAAGUGGCGAUGCUUAAAUUAUUUAAUCGAAGAAAUAUAAGAUACCAUAAUGAUGUGGAGACCCUCGAAAAAGCUGGAAAUGAUGGCGUUGAAACAAUGUAGUCACCGAUAGUAGUAGUGUACAUAUAUAUGAAUAUUUUCUAUUCUUAUAAGGUAAAAUAAAAACUUCUCCUGCCAUAUACGCUUAAUUCGACACAAGUUUUUUUUGAAAAUAUAAACUCACUGGUUCCGUUGAUUAUUGUCUUGUUCACCGAGUCACUGUUCAUUUUGGACAAACGAGUCACCCCAUGGUUCAUAAAGCUUCCUUUUCUUCUUUAAGUGCCCACUCCAUUAAUGAAGGUUGGCUAUAACUACUGUAAAUUCGUUCAUAUCUUCUACUUUUCGUCUGUGUGUUUAACUCAGUCUCUUUCCAUCCUCUGCAACACCAUUCGUAGUACAAUCAUAAUCGGUCCAUAGUAUUUCUAAAAUUCUCUUAACCCAGAUAUGCCUAAAAAUUAUUUAAAAUAUUUUUUUAAUAUUUUUCUUCAAAUGUACGUGUUAUGUAAGGUAACAAAAACAUAUUUGUCGUUAAAACCAAAUAUUUAUGUAAAAUAAGUAAAAAAAAAUGCUGUACAAAAUAUGGUGCACCAGGCAUAUAACCUACUAUUAGUAGUGGAGUCAAUGAAGGUGGAUAUGAGUUAUUACCUCAGAUUUCGUUGAAUCUUCAUCGAUUUUCAUAAAAAUUGGUGAGUGGUUAAAGGAUACCUCAAGGAACAAAGGUGACAUAGUGACAACUUGCGCUUUUGCAUUUUAGGGGUGAAAUACACCCCUUUUUUAAAAAAUAUUUUUUAGAUUUCUGAAAGUGCAGUCACUGUAAGUUUUCACUUCCUAUUUUGUUGAACCUUCAUCGAUUUUCAUGAAAAUCGGUAGGUAGUUAGAGGAUACCUCAAUCAAUAAAAGAUACAUAGCAUCAACUUGCGCUUUUGCAUUUUAGGGGUGUAAUACACCCCUACUUUUUAAAUUGUAAAAAAUGCAGAUUUCCGCAUUAUGGCGCAAGUAAUCUCGUUUAAUUAAGAAAAAUAAAUAUUUUUUUUAUGUUUAUGUGCAUGAAUUACAUUUUUUUUUUAAUUUUUCAAACCUUAUAGCAACCAAAAAUCCGAAAAUUAACAAGUCGAAAAUCACGAAAACCUUAUUCUUCUAUAUUUCUGAAAGUGUAGUCACUGAAUGUUUUCACCCACGAUUUCUUUGAACCUUCAUCGAUUUUCAUGAAAAUUGUUGAUAAGUUAGAGGAUACUUAAAAAACAAAAGUGAUAUGGCACCAAGUUGCGCUUUCUGCAUUUUAGGGGUGAAAUCCACCUUUUUUUUAAUGAUAAAAAUGCAGAUUUCAGCAUUCUGGCUCAAGCAAUCUCGUCUAAUUAAGUAAAAUAAAUAUUUUUUUACAUUUAUGUGCAUGAUUUAUAAUUUUUAUUAAUUUUUUAAACCUUAUAGCAACCAAAAAUCAGAAAAUUAGCAAAUCGACAAUCACGAAAAAAAUCAAUCUUUUAUAUUUCCAAAAAGGCAGUCACUGAAGGUUUUCACCCUUGAUUUCGUUGAACCUCCAUCAAUUUUCAUGAAAAUUGGUAAGUAGUUAGAGGAUACCUCAAGAAAUAAAAAUGAUGUGGUACCAACUUGCGCUUUUAUCCUGGGUGGAUGUUACCCCUUCUCAUGGGUGAACACUAUUUUAUUAAAAAUAACCCCAUAAUUAGAUAGAGGAGUAAAUUCUAAGCAAACUUUCUUUUAUCAAGUUUAUAAAUUUUUUAUUUAAAUAAUAUUUUAUAAUUUAAUAAAAUAUUAUUGGUACAGUAAAACCUCACAAUAACGGCCACUAAAAAUAGAAAAUAAUUGGCCGUUAUAGAAAUGUGGCCGCUAAUGCUAGGUUUCCUUUUCCACAAAUACAUAAAAUAUAAUUGAAAAUUUAUUUAUUUAAGUAAUUAAAGCAAAUCUAAUUAAAUAUAAUUCUACAAACAAACGGAACAUACUAAAACUAAAUUCAAUUUACUACAAUAUAAAACAAUAUCUAUACGAAAAAACAACUACAAUAAAAACAGAAUUUUUGUUUGUUUUACAUUUUUUUAGAUAAACGAAACAUACUAAAACUAAUUUAAUAUAGAUAAUACAUAAUAUAAAACAACAUACUAUAGCUACUACGAAAAAUACGCUUAUCACUAAAGUAUCGUCGUGUUUCCAUGCUAUAUUCAACAAAACCAACUUGGUAGGGCCUUUAAUUAGAUAUCGCAAAUCACUUUGGCUGAUUUUGUCUGCAUAUAUAUUAGCUUUGAGGAAUCCCUUUUUUUUGUGAGACUGGAUAUAGGACAUUUCUCAAGUAUGAAUUCACAUUCAUGGUAUAUCGUUGCUAUUCAGGGAUAAUAAUCUGUGCAAUGUUAUGAUACAGGCUACGUUAAAUAUGAAGUAAAUAUGGAAGAUAUACACUGGUUAUUCGUUUCAAUUUAAUUUGAUUGUUUUUUAAUCGUUUACAAUAUUUAAAAUAAUUAAAGACAUAAAGUUAGGGAUUUCAAAAAUAAAUUCAGUUCUCACUGGCAGGGUGGGAAAUAUUAAAGUGCCAUACAAUAGCAUUUCAUUACAAUGCUCAUUACAGGCGUUACAGGCUGCUCCGUUUGAGAAAACUCAUACUCUCAAACUUUGAGAAAACACUCAUUCAGUUUCGACCAACGCUGUAUUAGCUAAAAUUAAACGUUUUGCUAGAUUAAUAAUUUUUAACAAUAAUAGAUUAUAUUAAAAAUCACUUGAACAUAAAUUGAUUUUCUGAUGUCAAAUCACUACAAUUAUACAGGGGGUGAAUAUUGCUAUGAAAUGUGAAAAUAUAAACGUAAUUAUCUUUUAAACUACUUCGUAUAACAUCACAAAACCUGAUAUUUUAAGAAAUAAAACAUAGAGGAGAAUCCAAAAAUGUAAAAAUAUACAGGGUGUUCCAUUAAACAAAAAAUAAUUUUGUUUCACCCUGUCAAUAUGGGUGGCCCUGUAUAUUUGGAAAUGUAUUUAAAUUCUGAUAUUAUCUAUGCCCCAAUCUCACCUAAAUAAACUUUUUUCGUAUCUCCUACAACAAACGACUAAUUGGACUUCUCACAACCUGUAUACAUACAAAAUCUCCGCUAUAAAAUUUUUUCAAAGAAAAUGUUAUUGGUUUUUUUUUAAAUAAUUCCGUUAAAUUUUGAAAUAUGAGAUUUAUCUAAAAACCAUUACAAAGCUAAGUAAAAGUUCUAUAACGCUGUAUUAAACAUAAUUUUCUAAAUCCUUUAUUUUUUUUAAAUACAAGGUGAAAGGGCCCCGGUUACAUGGUUCUCGCAGUAAAAUUUAGGUUUUAAAUGUUUCUAUCUCGGUUAUUUUUUGUCGUAAAAAGAUAUUAAAAAAAGAAAAAGCUUAAAUAAAGUUAAAACUAAAAUUUUGUUCUCUACCAUUUUUUAAAUAUAUCGAGUAUUUUUGGAGUUAUUAUCAAAAGAAAAUGAAAUUCACGAAAAUUUGAAAAAUUCUAAUUUUUUUUAAUCGUAUUUUUUUUUCAAAAAUAUGCAUUCUAAACCGGUCAAAAUUGUUGAAGUUAUUACUCGUGUUAAAAUAAAUAAAGUUUUAAAUGGGUUACUAUAAAUUUUAAUUUUUGUGGAAAUGACGUAUGUUUAAUUUUUCAUUCUUCCCUAAAAAAUCUGAAAGGGUCCUCUUAUUUCCAUCAUAACUUGCUUAAUUUUGAUGCUAUCGACUUCUUAUAUAGCUUUUUAAAAGUUACCUUUAAGUAAUUUAUUAAAAUGUUUAAUAUCUAUAUUUAACAAAGUGCAUCGUUUUCCUGUUAUUUAAGCUUGAAUACUAAGAUUUGAGUACUCGCGGAAAAAAAAUGUAUAUUCAAUUGCAUAUAACUCACUUUCUAUAUGUAAUAAAAGAUUUUUCGAAUAGGGAGCUUAUUUAUUUUUAUAUUAUCUUAGAUUUUAGUAAUAACAACUUUUUUGAAGAAACUUGUGGUUUUUGAGUUAUUUAUGAAAAACUGCUUUAAAACAUGGAUUUUUUCAGGAAAAAUCAAAACUUUUGAUCUUUGAUAACUCAAAAACUAUUGAUUUAUUGAAAUAACUUUAUAUAACAAAUUUUACUUAUAAUUUGUCCCAUAUUUUUAGUAAAAUAAUUUCCACCCCUGAGAAGGGGUGGCAUCCCCCCCCCCAGGGUAAAAGCGUAAGUUGGCACCAUGUCACCUUUGUUUCUUGAGGUAUCCUCUACAUGCUUACCAAUUUUCAUGAAAAUCGAUGGAGGUUCAACGAAAUCGGAGGUGAAAAUCUUCAUUGACUCCACUAUAGGUUUGGGUAUAUUAUAAAACAAAACAUUUUAAAUUUAAAAAUACGUUGCAUUUUUAACACUUUAUUAUGAAAUAUUACGGCACAAAUCAUACUAUCUAGUUAUUUUUUCCUGUGGAUUCACCAAAUGGUCUAGUCGAUCAUAACAAAUUUAGACGUUUUCAUUGGCAAAUGGACGACCUAAUCUAAAUUAGCGCCUUCUAAAUUAUAACUGAUCCAAUUUUGUACGAAAGGGCAUCUGUCACAGCUUUAAGUCAAUUUCUAGGAUCCCUUUCACGUUGCCAAAACAUUCUCCUCCAAGGAAUGUUGACAUAAUCACUCAAUAGUAGAGUUCCCAGAAAAGCUUUGACCUCAUACUCCCAAACUUCUUGUUGGCGAUCCUUCUGUGAAGCGUAUCGAUUAGUUGCUGACGGUAUAAGCUUUAGUAUAAGUUACUUAUCAACGAAAAGUGAAAAACAUUCAGCGGAACGCUUAGAAUCAUAUUUUGGUAGUUCCCUUUUCACCAAUACAUUGACCUUAUAUCUGCAUUUUUUCUCUUACCUAGUGAUAUGUAUUUUUUCUUUGAUCCUUUAUCUGUCCAUUUAUCUCUCAGCUCUGUCAAUGGAAUGUUUUAUUAAGAAUCGGGUAACAAUAAUAUGCCUUCGUCAUUAUUUUGCACAUAUAUUUGAGAACGAGGUUAUAAUAGGGAACUUGCAUAAAUUUUUAAAUAUUAAAAUGAUAUUAAAAAACAUAAGGUAACAUGAUCUUAAAACGCUUGCAUGCGAAAAGAACAAAUAUUUUUAACCCGUACGCUAAUUACGACGCUUUGAAAAUGAUAUAAAAUUCAAAUAUCUUAGAAUGCUCUUGAACGUCCUUCUAUUGGUUCGACGUCACGGGCCACGGUCAACCGGGCUAGCUAGUCGGAAACAACGCGAUUAGGGUAGGUAUCACGGGUAUAUUACAUUUUAAUCGUCUUUAAUGGAAAAUUCCUAGGUAUUAUUUAUGUUCAUCUUAUAUAUUGUAAUAAGUAGUUCCCCAAUCAGCUUAGUUUUAAACUGAAAUUGAUAAAGUUGAGUGCUACUUUGUAAAGAGUUUAAAACGCAUAAUAUGACGGACAAGGAUAAGUCUGACAACUUACCUACCUUUGAUGUCUUCAUGGUGGCAACUUUUAUAAAAAGUAGUGAAAGCUAUUCUAUUGGAGAAAUGCGAGGUGUCAAGGCAAAUAAGUAAGAGUUAUUAAUAAGCAUGUUUAAACCGUUUAUAACAAUAGUUUGGUACCAUUAUAUUAUAGUAUACGGUUUACCCCGUGGGUUUGAUCUACCUACCUCUAAUCGAAGGAUUUCGUAUUCGCGGUGUGCAAGUACUUGGAAGUGAUACGCGAAACGAUCGUGCGCGAAUAGCGGAGAAAAAUUGCAACUUUCUUAAAUAAUUCAUAUUGUCAAUUGAAAUUGUUAAAUUGACGUACAUUUCAUACCUAUUGUCAUUUAAGAAGAAAAAUUAUACAUUGCUCCACAAUAUUGAUAUGAUAUGCAAUUAUUAUAUAAAAGUAAAUUUAAUUAAUUGUAUUUUGCUUGCAUUACUGCACUUUAACAACUAAUUUUAUUUACUACAUACAGUUAUUUACGUUUUAAUAACAUAACCUAAAUCUUAUUUUUUCUUCUUAUUAUUUUUUUUGGACUAUGGCUUUGAAAAUUAUCCAGUAACCAGGACCAUAUGAUUGGCCAAUAUAAUUAAAAGUGCGAAUAAAAGUGCAGAGCGUAGAAACCAGGUGUCGCUUUUCCGAACUUGCACGGUCCCAAUAUCCCGGAAAAGAUUACGGUGUAAUUUGCAUUAUAAUAAAGAUUAUAUUUUAUUGUAAUGUUUAUUAGUACCUACUGGAGCCUUUCAUUAUUGUGUUCAAAGCCUUCUGAGAAAAGAUUAUAGUGAUUAGCAGACGUACCGAUAGAACGUGUACAUAGCCAACAAAAUCCUUUUUUACAAAGUUAAUAAUACGCAUAAAUAAGAAGAAUCAUUAUUGUAAUUUUACAAGUUAAUAUCUUUAUCAUCUCAGCUUAUAUUUACACCGAAUCCCUCGGUAGACCGCAAGCUAUAGUAGAAACCCGACUGUAGACCGCAUACUAUAGUAGCACCAAUAUGUGCCAUUCCACGAACAUACGCCUGUUUUGGAUUACUUCGACAACGAAUACUUUACUGUGCAACAUAAGAAGUACGAAAGUAAAUGGCGCUAAUAAUUAUUCCAAUAAACAACAAUGUAAUUUGCAAUUUACUUUCGUUCUUCUUAUUUUGCACAGUAAAAUAUUCGUUGUCGAAGUAAUCCAAAACAGGCGUAUGUUCGUGGAAUAGGGUAUACUUUUUAGUUACUCUUACUUUUAUUACUAGAAGUUUUGUUUAUUUUUAAGUAACUUGUUUCUUCUUUGUUCUUCAACACAAGAAACGACAAAAGUAAUUUCAUAAAAAAGAACUUUUUGAUACAUGUCAACAGAGAUAAAAUGUUAAUAUUUUGCCUGUCACAGAAAAAAUCAUUUUUGCCACGGAGUAAAACAAGAUAUUUCAACUAUAUUAUUUAUCUAUGGGCAAACUGCAUUAAAUGCAAUAGCCCACCGAACGUUCAAACGAUACGAGUAGCCUAUGACGUCAGACCCCAGCUCUCGCUUUUGAAGUUGUUUGAAACGGAAAUUUUAGGCGCGGAAAUUUGAUCAGAUGUUGUACGUACACUAUUCAUUGUUAAGACGUAAUAUUUUGAAUAUAACAUUUUAAAACAUAAAUUAACAAUUUUAUGCAAAAAAUUUUUUGAGUGCAAGUUCCCUAUUGAUUUUGAUCCCUUAGAUAGGUGAAUAGUAUUGCUGAAAAUACACAACCCUGUCUCAGUCCUCUACUUAUCUAUUAAGCAUCCUUGCUACACAAAACUGUAAUUUUUAUGAGUAAUACUCACAUAUAUACAUUCUUUUUAUGUAUAUUUGUUUUUUUUAUUUAUUUUUAUUUUCUUCUGUAAUGCGCUAUAAUCAUUUAUAAUUAUAUUGUCCAUGUAAUUCAUAAGCCAAGUAAAUAAAUAAGUAGAGAAUUUAACAAAAUCUCUCAAAUAUUAUUUCAAGUGAAUUUAACUAAACUAUAAUGUAUUACUAAACGAGCCUAACCGAGUCGAAACGAGACGCAACCAUAUAUUACAAAAACAAUAAAUUACAACAAUAUGAAAAUAAUAGUUUGUUGUACUGCGAAGCUACCUGGAACUAGAAGGCAAGUCUAGCAUCAAACAUCAACAUCAAUAGUCUGGUUCAAAUCAAUCAGUCAUCAUGUCCGAUCUACAAAACACAACAUCCGCUGAAGAUGAUCCGCUAGAAGACAUCGAUAUCAAGGCAUUUUACGACCAACUAAAAGAAAUAACUGACGCCUUAAGCUAUUUGAACUAUUUCACUGACACAAUAAAACUCUUACUAUGUCUUUUCAUAAUAGUCGCAGAUAUCAUCAUAAUCAAACUAAUUCUGAGCGACUCAAAACUAAAAACAAAAACCAACUUAUUCAUCUGUCAUUACGCAAUAUGGCAUUUGAUAUUUGUUAGUACUUCGACAGCCUAUUUUACUUUCGUAACGAUGACUGGGCUGGUGCAUUACGUGCAUUUUUUUGUAUUUAUGUUCCUAUUUUUUUCCACUCGGUUAGCUCUACUUGUUAUUUUUAACAUGGGUCUUGGUUUAGGUUUAGAUUGGUUGUUUAACUUCCAUGACCCUAGUUUCGGAACAAGGUGUAGAUGGUUCAAUUCUUAUUUGAUCUAUAUCAUGUAUGGAUUUGCUGGAAUUGAGUUUAUUGUAAUUAUAUCUACAUCAGCGAUAGUACAUUAUAUUCAUGGACUGUGGAUGCUCAGAUUACUAUACUUUCUAAUUUUAUUAAUAAUUUUCACUUUCAAUGUGAUAAAUUAUUGGACAAAAGAACAAAAAAACGCCAUUUUCUAUGGUCUAAUGUUGUCAAAUGUUAUAAUACUGUGUUGGUUACCUCUAGUGAUCUAUAAUUCCUUGAAAAUGAUUUUCUUUGGUUCUGUCACUAUCUACAGCAUACUCUUGUUUACGAGCUUCAUUCCAGAAUGGCUUUCUUUAAGUUCCUCGCUUGUUGUCAUAUUAGCUUUAGUAAAACUAGACAGUUACUUUGCUGUUAAAUUUUGGAGUAUCUUUCGACGAAAUAAAGUAACUGGAGACGUGGAAAGUCUAGAAGCAAAUGGUCAUUAACACAAAGGAUUCGAGCAUGUUUAAAAAAUUUACAUUUAUUGUGAUUUUUUGAUAUGUCAAUAAAAUUAGUAUUAAACAUU